GGGGUAUGAACCAUGGUGAAGUUGGAUUACAAUAGAUAUAAUGCUAAUAUGAAUUUAGACUGAGUUUACAACAGUACUUGAAGUGGUGAUUUAUUUUAUUAUACUAACGGAUCUCACGAAGUUUUGUUGAGUUUUGUGUGAUUGAAGUUUUCAAGUUUUGGGUGAGAGCACGAUGGAUGAAGGAAUAAGGAGAGGCAAGAGCCUAAGAUUGGGGAUGCCCGAGGCACCCCAAGGUAAUAUUCAAGAAAGACUCAAGCGUCUAAGCUUGGGGAUGCCCCGGAAGGCAUCCCCUCUUUCGUCUACAAUCUAUUGGUAAUUUUACUCUGAGCUAUAUUUUAAUUCGUCACAUGAUAUGUGCAAAUGCUUGGAGCGUCUUUUGUGUUUAUUUUUCCUUUUUCUUUUAUGCACCAUGCUGGUAUGAGAU
rnacentral:lncRNA from 1 species